CACGUAGGAGGCGAGCGUUGUCCGGAAUCAUUGGGCGUAAAGAGCGCGCAGGCGGCUUGGCAAGUCGGGUGUGAAAUCCCGGGGCUCAACCCCGGGACUGCAUUCGAUACUGUCAGGCUAGAGGUAGGUAGGGGAGAUCGGAAUUCCUGGUGUAGCGGUGAAAUGCGCAGAUAUCUGGAGGAACACCGAUGGCGAAGGCAGCCCCCUGGGCUAACACUGACGCUCAUGCACGAAAGCGUGGGGAGCAAACAGG
rnacentral:rRNA from 1 species